AAAAAACAAACGAAAAAAAAAGAAACAGGAGCGAUUCUCCUGUAGCCCUAGCCGCCGCACCUCCUGCGCUCUGCCACCGCCGCUGCUGUUCCUCUCUUCACCGGCGCCGCCGCUGGUGCAGCCGUCGCCGGUCGCCACAGCCGUCGUCGUCCGCAGCCGGUCGUUGGAAGGAGGGAGAGAAGGCAGAGAAGAACAGGAAGGAAGGAAAGAAGGGGAAAUUUGAUAGAAGAAGGGAAAUUUGGGGAAUUUGGUACCUAAUGACAUCGAUCGGCAUGGGGCGGGAGUAGCACCCUUGGACUACACAUUAUUAUUGCACACAAUUGAAAUUAGUUUUAGACUAUAAUUUUUGCUCAGCAUAAGUUUUGCAUAGAACUUGUAAAGGUCAUUUAAGGUUCUGAUCCUUAUUUUUAACGUGGGAUUUGUGGAGCUAGGAUGGUUUGGAUUGUGUGGUUUAUAUCGGUAGAGACUCUGCCGGAAUUUCUAAUAAUUUUAGGACUUAGUUUUUGAGUGUAUUUUGGUGUGGCAUUCUAUGUACGUGGUUACCUGGGGUGUUA